rnacentral:rRNA from 1 species
UCGGGAAUUUUGGGCAAUGGGCGAAAGCCUGACCCAGCAACGCCGCGUGAAGGAUGAAGUAUUUCGGUAUGUAAACUUCGAAAGAAUAGGAAGAAUAAAUGACGGUACUAUUUAUAAGGUCCGGCUAACUACGUGCCAGCAGCCGCGGUAAUACGUAGGGACCAAGCGUUGUUCGGAUUUACUGGGCGUAAAGGGCGCGUAGGCGGCACGACAAGUCACUUGUGAAAUCUCUGGGCUUAACCCAGAACGGCCAAGUGAUACUGUCGCGCUAGAGUGCAGAAGGGGCAAUCGGAAUUCUUGGUGUAGCGGUGAAAUGCGUAGAUAUCAAGAGGAACACCUGAGGCGAAGGCGGCUCACUGGUCCGGUACUGACGCUGAGGUGCGAAAGCGUGGGGAGCAAACAGGAUUAGAUACCCAAGUAGUCCCUGAGCGGGCUGGCAAGGCGCAU